GGCGAACGCUGGCGGCGUGCUUAACACAUGCAAGUCGAACGGAAAGGCCCUGCUUUUGUGGGGUGCUCGAGUGGCGAACGGGUGAGUAACACGUGAGUAACCUGCCCUUGACUUUGGGAUAACUUCAGGAAACUGGGGCUAAUACCGGAUAGGAGCUCCUGAUGCAUGGUGGGGGUUGGAAAGUUUCGGCGGUUGGGGAUGGACUCGCGGCUUAUCAGCUUGUUGGUGGGGUAGUGGCUUACCAAGGCUUUGACGGGUAGCCGGCCUGAGAGGGUGACCGGCCACAUUGGGACUGAGAUACGGCCCAGACUCCUACGGGAGGCAGCAGUGGGGAAUAUUGCACAAUGGGCGGAAGCCUGAUGCAGCAACGCCGCGUGCGGGAUGACGGCCUUCGGGUUGUAAACCGCUUUCGCCUGUGACGAAGCGUGAGUGACGGUAAUGGGUAAAGAAGCACCGGCUAACUACGUG
rnacentral:rRNA from 1 species